UACGUAGGGUGCAAGCGUUGUCCGGAAUUAUUGGGCGUAAAGAGCUCGUAGGUGGCCUGUCGCGUCGGCUGUGAAAACUCGGGGCUCAACUCCGAGCUUGCAGUCGAUACGGGCAGGCUAGAGUUCGGCAGGGGAGACUGGGAUUCCUGGUGUAGCGGUGAAAUGCGCAGAUAUCAGGAGGAACACCGGUGGCGAAGGCGGGUCUCUGGGCCGAUACUGACACUGAGGAGCGAAAGCGUGGGGAGCGAACAGG
rnacentral:rRNA from 1 species